UACGGAGGAUGCAAGCGUUAUCCGGAUUUAUUGGGUUUAAAGGGUGCGCAGGCGGGAUGUUAAGUCGGCGGUGAAAUUUUGCAGCUCAACUGUAAAAGUGCCUUCGAUACUGGCUUCCUUGAGUGUGGAUAAAGUAGGCGGAAUUUGUGGUGUAGCGGUGAAAUGCUUAGAUAUCACGAGGAACUCCGAUUGCGCAGGCAGCUUACUAAACCACUACUGACGCUCAUGCACGAAGGCGUGGGGAUCAAACAGGAUUAGAUACCCGU
rnacentral:rRNA from 1 species